rnacentral:ncRNA from 2 species
GAAGUGUUCGGAUCGCGGCGA